AUCAUUUAUUGCAUACUUAAGACAAGUUUCAAGAAGCUAUUACAAAAUCGUCAGAUUAAUCGCGCGAUUAAAACCGUGAACACAUAAAAAGAUAUUUAAUCGCAUCUUAUCAGCAAUUACACCAUUAUUUAACUGGAAUAAUGGCGUAUGGAAUUGUCGCAAGAACAUUAUCCAUUUAUUGCCAUUGAUCGCUUUAAUAAAAGUUUCAUUUAAACACAUUCUUGUCGAUCUCAUCGCGAUAUUUUUUUUUGAAUUACAAAUUCCCGCGUAUAGAAUCGCGUGCCAUAUGCGGCAAUAUUGUAUUGCGCGCGCAGACUUUAUCUUCUAUGUCCUUGCGCAGAAUCAUACGAUUCCCGCGUAAAGACACGUGGCACCAUUCCUUGCGUUUUUCGAAGCAGUGAUUUCUAGGUUAUCGAUCUCUUCGUAGCGAGCAAGACAAUAGACUCACGAUUUCUAUCGAUCGUGCAACGUUCUUGUUUGAAAUCCUGCUCCACUCUUAAAUAACCUCUUAAUUGUUAACCUAUGCCCAUAUAUUCGUCGGAAUUGCCGUUUUUCGUGCGACCGGGAUUCGUGACACCAGACAGAUGAGGAGCGAAAGAAAGAAAGAAAGAGGUCCAUAGACUGUGAAGGAAAGAUGUAACCUGUUCCAGUUUCCAGGAUCAUCGUGCACUACUACUGUAUAUUCGAGAAAUUGAAUCUGCUGAAAUGUAACACGAGAAUCAGUAUGCGAUUAUCGAAGACUGUGUCAAGUGUCUGCUGGAUCUGGAUAUUCCGACCACCAGACGGAUUCUUUGAUUCUUCAGAUGGUUAUCUUUCAGAAAACCCGUGAGAAUAGGUCGUUCAAUA